rnacentral:rRNA from 1 species
GUUCCUACGGGGGGCAGCAGUGAGGAAUAUUGGUCAAUGGGCGCGAGCCUGAACCAGCCAAGUCGCGUGAGGGAUGACGGUCCUACGGAUUGUAAACCUCUUUUGCCGGGGAGCAAGCGUGCGUUCGUGAACGCGCGUCGAGAGUACCCGGAGAAAAAGCAUCGGCUAACUCCGUGCCAGCAGCCGCGGUAAUACGGAGGAUGCGAGCGUUAUCCGGAUUUACUGGGUUUAAAGGGUGCGUAGGCGGAGUGUCAAGUCAGCGGUAAAAUUUCGGGGCUCAACCCCGUCGUGCCGUUGAAACUGAC